rnacentral:lncRNA from 1 species
UGCUUAAUAAAGUGAAAGUUCGUUAAAUGUUUAAUGUGUGAUAGGUACUGUUUAUGUGUACUUCCUCAUUGGACUCAUUGGAUUUUCCAAUGAAAUAGUAUUACAUCUUUUUUUUUUUUAAAUAGAGUCUCACUCCUUUACCCAGGCUGGAGUACAGUGACAUGAUCUCAGCUCACUGCAACCUCUGCCUCCUGUGUUCAAGAGAUUCUCCUGCCUCAUCCUCUCGAGCAGCAAUAUAAAAUUACAUGCCACCACAGCCAGGUUUUGGGGUACAUGUGCAGAACAUGCAAGACAGUUGCAUAGUGUCAGAUUGCUGAGAAUGAUGUUCUCCAGAUUCAUCCAUGUCCCUACAAACGACACGAACUCAUCAUUUCUGAUUGCUGCAUAAUAUUCCAUGGUUUCCUGAUUCUGAGCCAGAUAAGUGUUUGGCACACCCCUGUCAUCUAAGUUGGAGGCUUAGAGAAGUAAGCAACCGAGGCGAGUUCCAGCUGGUCCUCACAGCUCACCUUCACAGGAUCCAGUUUAUCUUUGCUUUCUUCAUUUGCAUUCCGUCUUCUCUCCCCAAGUGAGUGCUCUGUGGAUAUUAGUCUCCAGCACCAGUUGCAG